UAUAGGGUCAACUGAUGCAAAUGACUAUGAUGGUUACACCCAACAUCAACAAAGAGCUGCAUUACCUUAACAAGGAAGAUCGGUUGCUGCGCUGGCUUGUGGUCAAACACCGAGAUGCAAAAUAUGGGGUGGAAUUUCUUAGUGAAGAGGACAGCAAAAAUGAACUCAGUAAGUUUCCUCGAAGCAGUUUAUAUGAUAAUCAAGAUGUUGAUGAAGACGAUGACAACGACGAUGAAUAUGCUGUGGAUGAAGAAGAAGGAAAGCAGACAUAAGUAACUAGAAUGACAGGUGAACUUCAUUGGAUUCAAUAGUCAUUACGUUAUGAGGAUGAUGAAGAAUGUACUUAUCAAUGCCCCUCAUAUCAAACAUUUCUUGUCGAAACAGUUCACCUCCGACAAACCAUAUACUACUCAAGAAAUUGACGAAGUUAGAGAAGAAUGGGCAAUGUCAUUUUUACAAUUGGUUAGAGCAAAAUGAAUGAUAUUAUAGCUAGCUAAUUACAAUACAUGUUUAGAAAUUUUAAAUUUAUUUCGUAAAAAAUUUUUGCCAUUUUUUUAGUAUUUUAUUUUCAAAAUUCUUUUGAUACAUAUUCGACACUCAAAUGGAUAUAUAUUUUUAAAUCAAAAUUAAAAUUGUAGC